CAUGAAGAUUCUUGUAAGUCGCUCUGGAUAAGAGCGUCUGCUAAAUGACGUAAA
rfam:Salmo salar isolate Sally breed double haploid chromosome ssa26, whole genome shotgun sequence.